AAUCUGGGGUCCCACGGCCCCCGAGUUGUAAUUUGGAGAGGCAUCUUCGGGGGGGAGCGCCGGCCCAUGUUCCUUGGAACAGGACGUCGCAGAGGGUGAGAAUCCCGUGCCAGGCCGGCUGCCUCCUCCCUAGUGAAGGGCCUUCGACGAGUCGAGUUGUUUGGGAAUGCAGCUCCAAGUGGGUGGUAAAUUUCAUCUAAAGCUAAAUACCGGCGGGAGACCGAUAGCGCACAAGUAGAGUGAUCGAAAGAUGAAAAGCACUUUGAAAAUAGAGUCAAAAAGUACGUGAAAUUGUUGAAAGGGAAGCGCUUGAGACCAGACUCAGACCCGAGCAAACACCGCGCCCCUCGGGGCCGUGCAAUUGCCUGGGGCUGGGCCAGCAUCAGUUGGCGUGGCGGGACAAAGGCGCGGGGAAUGUGGCUCCCCUCGGGGAGUGUUAUUAGGCCCGCGCUCAAUGCCGCCGCCGCCGACUGAGGACCGCGCCUCGGCUAGGAUGCUGGCUUAAUGGCCUUCAGCGACCCGUCUUGAAACACGGACCAAGGAGUCUAACAUCUAUGCGAGUGUUUGGGCGUCAAACCCUUGCGCGGAAUGAAAGUGAGCGGAGGUGGGAACCCCUUCGCAGGGCGCACCAUCGACCGAUCCUGAUGUCUUCGGAUGGAUUUGAGUA
rnacentral:rRNA from 1 species